AGAGUUUGAUCAUGGCUCAGAACGAACGCUGGCGGCAUGCCUAACACAUGCAAGUCGAACGAAGCCUUCGGGCUUAGUGGCGCACGGGUGCGUAACGCGUGGGAAUCUGCCCCUCGGUUCGGAAUAACAGUUAGUAAUGACUGCUAAUACCGGAUGAUGACGAAAGUCCAAAGGUUUAUCGCCGAGGGAUGAGCCCGCGUAGGAUUAGCUUGUUGGUGGGGUAAUGGCCCACCAAGGCGACGAUCCUUAGCUGGUCUGAGAGGAUGAUCAGCCACACUGGGACUGAGACACGGCCCAGACUCCUACGGGAGGCAGCAGUGGGGAAUAUUGGACAAUGGGCGAAAGCCUGAUCCAGCAAUGCCGCGUGAGUGAUGAAGGCCUUAGGGUUGUAAAGCUCUUUACCAGGGAUGAUAAUGACAGUACCUGGAGAAUAAGCUCCGGCUAACUCCGUG
rnacentral:rRNA from 1 species